CAAUGAUUGACAGGGAGCUAAGAUGGAGGUGGCUCUCUAUACUGACUGCCAGGUGUAAAGGGCGGAGCUUAUAACAAUGAUUGACAGGGAGCUAAGAUGGAGGCGGCUCUCUCUAUACUGACUGCCAGGUGUAAAGGGCGGAGCUUAUAACAAUGAUUGACAGGGAGCUAAGAUGGAGGCGGCUCUCUCUAUACUGAGUGCCAGGUGUAAAGGGCGGAGCUUAUAACAAUGAUUGACAGGGAGCUAAGAUGGAGGCGGCUCUCUCUAUACUGACUGCCAGGUGUAAAGGGCGGAGCUUAUAACAAUGAUUGACAGGGAGCUAAGAUGGAGGCGGCUCUCUCUGUGCUGACUGCCAGGUGUAAAGGGCGGAGCUUAUAACAAUGAUUGACAGGGAGCUAAGAUGGAGGUGGCUCUCUCUAUACUGACUGCCAGGUGUAAAGGGCGGAGCUUAUAACA